rnacentral:rRNA from 1 species
AUAGCGUAUAUUAAAGUUGUUGCAGUUAAAAAGCUCGUAGUUGAAACUCAGAUCGGGUUGGGUGGUCCGCUUAACGGCGUGUUACUGCUUGACUGGGUCUUGUCUCUUGGUGAACCGUUGUGUCCUUUAUUGAAUGCUUCGGGGAACCAGGACUUUUACCUUGAGAAAAUUAGAGUGUUCAAAGCAGGCCUAUGCCUGAAUACAUUAGCAUGGAAUAAUAGAAUAGGACGUGUAGUUCUAUUUUGUUGGUUUUUAGAGCUGCCGUAAUGAUUAAUAGGGAUAGUUGGGGGCAUUCAUAUUCAGUCGCUAGAGGUGAAAUUCUUGGAUUGACUGAAGAUGAACUAUUG